GCUUAACACAUGCAAGUCGAGGGGCAGCAUGGUCUUAGCUUGCUAAGGCCGAUGGCGACCGGCGCACGGGUGAGUAACACGUAUCCAACCUGCCGUCUACUCUUGGACAGCCUUCUGAAAGGAAGAUUAAUACAAGAUGGCAUCAUGAGUCCGCAUGUUCACAUGAUUAAAGGUAUUCCGGUAGACGAUGGGGAUGCGUUCCAUUAGAUAGUAGGCGGGGUAACGGCCCACCUAGUCUUCGAUGGAUAGGGGUUCUGAGAGGAAGGUCCCCCACAUUGGAACUGAGACACGGUCCAAACUCCUACGGGAGGCAGCAGUGAGGAAUAUUGGUCAAUGGGCGAGAGCCUGAACCAGCCAAGUAGCGUGAAGGAUGACUGCCCUAUGGGUUGUAAACUUCUUUUAUAAAGGAAUAAAGUCGGGUAUGGAUACCCGUUUGCAUGUACUUUAUGAAUAAGGAUCGGCUAACUCCGUGCCAGCAGCCGCGGUAAUACGGAGGAUCCGAGCGUUAUCCGGAUUUAUUGGGUUUAAAGGGAGCGUAGAUGGAUGUUUAAGUCAGUUGUGAAAGUUUGCGGCUCAACCGUAAAAUUGCAGUUGAUACUGGAUAUCUUGAGUGCAGUUGAGGCAGGCGGAAUUCGUGGUGUAGCGGUGAAAUGCUUAGAUAUCACGAGGAACUCCGAUUGCGAAGGCAGCCUGCUAAGCUGCAACUGACAUUGAGGCUCGAAAGUGUGGGUAUCAAACAGGAUUAGAUACCCUGGUAGUCCACACGGUAAACGAUGAAUACUCGCUGUUUGCGAUAUACAGCAAGCGGCCAAGCGAAAGCGUUAAGUAUUCCACCUGGGGAGUACGCCGGCAACGGUGAAACUCAAAGGAAUUGACGGGGGCCCGCACAAGCGGAGGAACAUGUGGUUUAAUUCGAUGAUACGCGAGGAACCUUACCCGGGCUUAAAUUGCAGAUGAAUUACGGUGAAAGCCGUAAGCCGCAAGGCAUCUGUGAAGGUGCUGCAUGGUUGUCGUCAGCUCGUGCCGUGAGGUGUCGGCUUAAGUGCCAUAACGAGCGCAACCCUUGUUGUCAGUUACUAACAGGUUCCGCUGAGGACUCUGACAAGACUGCCAUCGUAAGAUGUGAGGAAGGUGGGGAUGACGUCAAAUCAGCACGGCCCUUACGUCCGGGGCUACACACGUGUUACAAUGGGGGGUACAGAGGGCCGCUACCACGCGAGUGGAUGCCAAUCCCCAAAACCUCUCUCAGUUCGGACUGGAGUCUGCAACCCGACUCCACGAAGCUGGAUUCGCUAGUAAUCGCGCAUCAGCCACGGCGCGGUGAAUACGUUCCCGGGCCUUGUACACACCGCCCGUCAAGCCAUGGGAGCCGGGGGUACCUGAAGUGCGUAACCGCGAGGAGCGCCCUAGGGUAAAACUGGUGACUGGGGCUAAGUA
rnacentral:rRNA from 1 species